AAGAAUGUCACGGGGACUGCUAACUCCCACCCCUGGUAAUAAAACACCAGCAUCCUUA
rnacentral:tRNA from 1 species